AUUGAACGCUGGCGGCAUGCCUUACACACGCAAGUCGAACGGUAACGGGCCUUCGGGUGCCGACGAGUGGCGAACGGGUGAGUAAUACAUCGGAACGUGCCCGAUCGUGGGGGAUAACGAGGCGAAAGCUUUGCUAAUACCGCAUACGAUCUACGGAUGAAAGCAGGGGACCGCAAGGCCUUGCGCGGACGGAGCGGCCGAUGGCAGAUUAGGUAGUUGGUGGGAUAAAAGCUUACCAAGCCGACGAUCUGUAGCUGGUCUGAGAGGAUGAUCAGCCACACUGGGACUGAGACACGGCCCAGACUCCUACGGGAGGCAGCAGUGGGGAAUUUUGGACAAUGGGCGCAAGCCUGAUCCAGCCAUGCCGCGUGCAGGAUGAAGGCCUUCGGGUUGUAAACUGCUUUUGUACGGAACGAAAAGCCUUCUUUUAAUACAGGAGGGUCAUGACGGUACCGUAAGAAUAAGCACCGGCUAACUACGUG
rnacentral:rRNA from 1 species